GACUUAAAAUCCGUCGAUUUU
rnacentral:tRNA from 2 species